rnacentral:rRNA from 1 species
GUGAACCUGCGGAAGGAUCACUU